rnacentral:lncRNA from 1 species
UAUGCGGUAUAUGUAUGCCAAUUAGGAGUGCAAAUGGGUCGAAUCGGACUGGAUCAUGAGUGACUCCGAUCCGAUCUGAUUUCUUGAUCAAGUCUAAAUAUUAGACUCAAACCUAGGCCAACAAAAGAUCAGAUCAGGUUGGAUUCAUGAUCAAAUUUUUUGAUCCAACGGAUCAUUCGGAUCAGAUCAGAUCCAUAUAUAAUCCAGUCCCGAUCCAUGAAAUACGAGUCCAAUUCGGAUCUGAAUGUGUACCGAUUCAAAUCUAAAUUAUAAAUAACAAGAUUAAUAAGUAAAAGAUCUAUAAAUAACCUUAUUUGCACUAUAAAUUUUGAUCCUGAUGCAUUGGACAAUUAGAGCCUCCAUAUCCCAUACUCUUCACCUAAGAACCUAAAAAGUUUAAUCAUAUUUUUCUCACCAUCAUCCCUGACUUGGUUAAUUUAAAUUUAAAAUAUUCUAACAAAAUUUUAAAAAAUAAAUAUCUAAAAGUUAAUAGAAUACAUUUUCAAGAACAGCAAAUAUUAAAGCAGACUUGAUCAAAAUUAACAUUCAUAUAAUAAAGGAACAAAGAGAGAUGAGGGAUGGGUUCAGA